GUGCUUCGGGCGCCACACUGACACAACCAGCAGCAUCCAGUGCACUGAAAGGACCCGCAUGGCGCUCUGCAAACGGGCAAAACAUGUCGUGUAAAACGAUGGACACUACUCGCCCUAAACGGGCGCCAUCUUGGCGACGUAGCGGAAGAGGAGGAGCCCUUUCGCCAGCUUUUCAUUUCAUUUCUAAAACAAUGGCGGACGAGAUGGCUACGGUAGCACAAGCGGUCGACCACGGAGGCUCCUGCCGCGAUGGUGGAGGUAUCGCAGUUUCCACAUGGGGUGGAGAAAGCGUUGGGUUUGGAGCUGGAUCCCCAGGAAACGGUGAUUAGCAAAGCUUUGAGGAGCUUUGUUUGUAUCUCCUCAGGUCGGCUCCUCGUGGGGUCACUCCCUCGCUUCAAGUCUCCGCCUGAAAGCUUCAAUUAAAACCCACAUUCUCAGAAAGAAACGGCAGAAAGGCAACGCAAAAGGGAGGGGGGGGGGAGGGGGGGGGCUGCUGGGUCUCCAUCCCUCUCUCUUUCCUCUUUGUCAUUCCCAGCUGAUCGGCGGCUGUUGUACCGCUCUACUCAACCGCCUCAUCUACCUGUUUGUUUACUUAAUCCCUCAGUCAUCUCCCUGUUUAUUUACUUAUUCCCUCAGUCAUCUACCUGUUUAUUUACUUAUUCCCUCAGUCAUCUACCUGUUUAUUUACUUAUUCCCUCAGUGAUCUACCUGUUUAUUUACUUAUUCCCUCAGUCAUCUACCUGUUUAUUUACUGAUUCCCUCACACUCUAAAAAAAAAAAAAAGUUGAGUCAACUUAAAAAAGUGAGGCAACCAGCUGCAAAGCCUUUUUGAGUUCACUCAACUAAGGGCUAAUGUGUUGUGUCAACUUAUGAUAAGAAGUUCACUCAAAGUGAUAUCUUAAGUUUGUCAAACGUAACAUGACUAUUCAGACGUACUCAUGUAUUUAAGUUAACACUACUUAAAAUAUUGCAUUUGAUAGUUACAUCUACUCAUGUACUUAAGUUCAGAACACUUAAAAUAUUAAAUUGGAGAAACUUUAAAUUGUGUGUUCUUGUAGAUUAAAAACAUACAUCAACAGCACUUAACA